GACUUGCAUCCGCGACGGAUGUCUCUUCGGAAACCGGUUUCUAAAAAUGAAGAACUAGGUUCCAAACGAAGGGAAAGCAAAGUGGUUUUAAAUUACAGGUAGCUGCUGAAGAUUUGGUGGCAGCAGUGGGAUCCGAAGCAAACCUCCAUCAAAAUUCAGGGAUAAUGAGAAACAGAAGCAUGGUGCUCUAUGAACCUUGUUGAAUUCACUGUCUUUCUCGCUGUUUCCAAAUGCCGUUGGUUAUAGAAGACUUUCUGGAUCCCAACUCAGAGGAACCUGUUGGGCACAGUCUAAAGCCUGGUGACUGGGUAUUCUGGAAACAUUAUCAAAGGAAGACAGUUCUUGAGCUCAGCUAAAAGGGACCUUACCAAGUUCUCCUAACCACUGAUACUGUUGUGAAACUAUAAGACAGUGGAGACCUCUGAAUCACAUUGACAGGGAGGAGAAGUAGGUGACAUCAAGGUAAACUGAUUCUGCCCAUGACAAUGGAUCAACUGCAGACUUUAAAGAUGAAACCCUUUCCCCUUGUUUUCUUUUCCUGUACUUUGGCAUUUGCCUGGAAAGAUAAUGCCAUCAUCUAUA